rnacentral:misc_RNA from 1 species
UUCUUAUCAGCCUAUAAAUUCUCCAUUUCUCUGUGUUUGCCAAGCUCGGGUUCCAUUCAAAUUCAAUCAACAAUAAAACUGCUUCGCCAAAAUAAUAUCAAUUUUAAUUACUUUUUGCUCCAUCGAUCACCGUAACCGUCGCUAUGGGAGGAGGAGCUGUCAUGAGAGCCGCUUCUAAGGUCGCGGGUAUCGGCGUCGUCAAUAGUGGCCUCCGAGGUGUUUCUGCUGUCCCGUCCAGUGUCGCUGAACAGUCGGUGCGUAACGCCUCACGUCCGGUGUCGGCGAUCCUCUCUUCAUCGCAGACUGGGACUGCAGAUGGCAUGGAAAUCGCUGGAGUUCAGCGUUCGGCUUGGGAGCUGCACGAUUGGGAGUUUGCUGGCGGUGAGGAGGAGCAGUUGCUCGAAUCUAGCGACCCGGUGCCAAGAGUCGUGUUCGGGCCGGCACCGAGCCUGCAGGAGGCGAAAUCGGCCACUAGUGAAUUGAAGGAUGCUCUGGAGAAAGUGUAUACAUCAUCUUCUCCUUACACGGGAUCUGGUGGUUCAUUUGGAGAUGGUCAGCUGUCAGGCCUAACUUUGCGUGCAAACUCAGACUAUUUGGAGAACAAAAGC